rnacentral:rRNA from 1 species
CAUGCUUUACACAUGCAAUCGACGGCAGGCGGGAGCAAUCCUGCGGCGAGUGGCGAACGGGNAGUAAUACAUCGGAACGUGCCCAAUCGUGGGGGAUAACGCAAGCGAAAGCUGUGCUAAUACCGCAUAAGAUCUACGGAUGAAAGCAGGGGAUCGCAAGACCUUGCGCGAAUGGAGCGGCCGAUGGCAGAUUAGGUAGUUGGUGAGGUAAAGGCUCACCAAGCCUUCGAUCUGUAGCUGGUCUGAGAGGACGACCAGCCACACUGGGACUGAGACACGGCCCAGACUCCUACGGGAGGCAGCAGUGGGGAAUUUUGGACAAUGGGCGCAAGCCUGAUCCAGCCAUGCCGCGUGCAGGAUGAAGGCCUUCGGGUUGUAAACUGCUUUUGUACGGAACGAAAAGUCUCUUUCUAAUAAAGAGGGAUCAUGACGGUACCGUAAGAAUAAGCANC